rnacentral:sRNA from 1 species
AGGAGUAUAUCGCGUUCCCUUCCGCCGACGGCGAAACUCUCCGGCGCCCCCUCUCCUUCCGUUCCUCUUCGCCUCCUCCAUUAAUCGGCGUCAACCCACUUCUCCGCCGUGUGUGCGUACGUGCAGGAGCGACUGCUGUGGAGAGCGCGACUCCGGCCGCUGGCGUUGGAUGCGCGCGCAGUGCCUUCCGCGUGCGCCCGAUUUGCGUCGGCAGCGCCCACUUCGGAGGCCGCUCUGACGAAUUCCGGCGCCGCCUUCACGAUCCCCGUCCGCGUGCGGCCGAGACCUGCGGCGGCGCCAACCUCGGAGGCCGAUUCGUUCCAUUCCUGUGCAAGUCUCGUGCGCACGACGAGUACUGCGAAGAACAACCCUUGCCAUCACAUCCUCAGUAUCUGGGGGCGGACGCUCCAGGCAGUGAAGCUGGGACUGGGAGCAGCCGCCGGCGAAUGCUUCUCCAAGAGCACCAAGAUUCACAGAUCGUAGUGGUUCUGGAAAAAAAAAGUCCUAUAUGGCGAAUGUCUGAAGCUAGUGGUUGAUGGAAAACAACAGUCCUAUGUGUGAAGCUGGUGAGAAUAUUCAGAGAUGCUCGUGUAUAGAUUAUUAUCAGUUAGUACUCUGUUUGUGAUCUAUUUACUCCCUCCGUCCAAAAAAAAAAACUCAACCAAGGAAAGGAGUGUUUUUUGGGAUGGAUGGAGUAUUAUGCAAGGUAAGGGCUUGUUUAGUUGGUGAAAUAAAAAUUUUUGGAUGUCACAUCAGACGUUUAACCAGAUGUUGGAAGGGGUUUUCGGACACGAAUGAAAAAACUAAUUUC